UACGUAGGGGGCGAGCGUUAUCCGGAUUCAUUGGGCGUAAAGCGCGCGCAGGCGGACCGUUAAGCGGGACCUCUAAUCCUGGGGCUCAACCUCAGGCCGGGUCCCGAACUGGCGGUCUCGAGUGCGGUAGGGGAGGUCGGAAUUCCCGGUGUAGCGGUGGAAUGCGCAGAUAUCGGGAAGAACACCGAUGGCGAAGGCAGACCUCUGGGCCGACACUGACGCUGAGGCGCGAAAGCUAGGGGAGCGAACAGG
rnacentral:rRNA from 1 species